UGCGGAGGGGGCUAGCGUUGUUCGGAAUUACUGGGCGUAAAGCGCGCGUAGGCGGCUUAGCAAGUUAGAGGUGAAAGCCCGAAGCUCAACUUCGGAAUUGCCUUUAAAACUGCAAAGCUAGAAUCAUGGAGAGGUGAGUGGAAUUCCGAGUGUAGAGGUGAAAUUCGUAGAUAUUCGGAAGAACACCAGUGGCGAAGGCGACUCACUGGACAUGUAUUGACGCUGAGGUGCGAAAGCGUGGGGAGCAAACAGG
rnacentral:rRNA from 1 species